rnacentral:rRNA from 1 species
AGGAUCAUUACAGAGUUCGUGCCCUUCGGGGUAGACCUCCCACCCUUUGUAUACCUACCUUUGUUGCUUUGGCGGGCCGUCGCAAGACCGGCGGCUUCGGCUGUCGUGUGCCCGCCAGAGGACCCCAAACUCUGAAUACAGUGUCGUCUGAGUACUAUAUAAUAGUUAAAACUUUCAACAACGGAUCUCUUGGUUCUGGCAUCGAUGAAGAACGCAGCGAAAUGCGAUAAGUAAUGUGAAUUGCAGAAUUCAGUGAAUCAUCGAAUCUUUGAACGCACAUUGCGCCCCUUGGUAUUCCGGGGGGCAUGCCUCUUCCAGCGUCAUUUCACCCCUCAAGCUCUGCUUGGUUUUGGGCCGCGCCAGCAACGGCGGGCCUCGAAAAUAGUGGCGACGCCAUCGUGCUCUCAGCGUAGUAAUUCUUCUCGCUGUUGGGUCCCGGUGGUUGGUCCGCCAGCAACCCUCAACUUUCUUAAGUUUGACCUGGGAUGAGGUAGGGAUACCCGCUGAACUUAAGCAUAUCAAUAAGCGGAGGAAAAGAAACCAACAGGGAUUGCCUCAGUAACGGCGAGUGAAGCGGCAACAGCUCAAAUUUGAAAUCUGGUCCUUUCAGGUCCCGAGUUGUAAUUUGUAGAAGAUGCUUCGAGCGUGGCUCCGGUCUAAGUCCCUUGGAACAGGGCGUCAUAGAGGGUGAGAAUCCCGUAUGUGACUGGCUGCCUCCGUUCAUGUGAAGCUCUUUCGACGAGUCGAGUUGUUUGGGAAUGCAGCUC